CGGAUCCACAAAGGAUCUUGACUCAGCAGUAAAAAGAAUAUUAGUCCAGUCGAUAAUAUCACAGGUAAAAGGCCAAAUAAUUAAAGCCAGUAGAACGGCCGGAUGCCUAAACGACACAAUUUGGAAAAACAAACACCUAAGAGUGGACACAAAAGCCCGAAUAUAUUUAUUACAAUUUCUACAUUAAGUUUUUAUCAUUUUAUGUACCUAACCUCCAAAUAUCUACCCAUGUGCUUUGUUACGAUAACAUUUUUACCUAGUAACAUGGACGUGGUAAUCAAAUAAUUUUACUAGUAAUCACUGCUAUUAAUUUUGUUUUAUUCCUUUGCCAUUUGCUACUUUUACGAUUAUUUGGCAAGGAAAGGAUACAUCUUGAUGUCACUAAUACAUAUAUGGUUUGUCUUCUAGUUUUUGGGAAUAAAAAUCACCUUUCUCCCUUCGGGAGCCUCAAGCAUCCUCCGUCGCCGACGAUACAACCAUGAUGACCAUAUAAUGACCAUCUAGACUGCAACGACCAACCAACAUCCGUAGGCCUGGUGGAAUGCAACAUUUAGGACCUCAGAGCCAGUCGCAGAAACAGCAGUACCAUUCGACAUCAAGGAGUUACCAUUGAACCAAUACCAAAAGCCAUAAGUAUAAUCCAAGAAUUGUUAGUUGUUGGCAUGUGAAUAUAUAUUAUGUUAUUGAAUUUAAUAAAUAUUUUAUUAUAUCUUUAUUGAGAAGGAAUAUACAUGGGUAGUUAAAUUAUUGUUCUGUUUGCUUUCAAUCCAGAUGUUCAUUGCUCAUACUUUUGAUUAGGAUAAGACGAACACACAACUUGGGAAUCUGAGCUAGGCUAGGGUGAGUGAACGAUAACUAUCAUGGUUGAUUAAAUA
rnacentral:lncRNA from 1 species